GCCUUCGUGGUGUAGUGCUCAGCACGCUCGAUUCGUAACGAGAGGUCUGUGGUUCGAUUCCCGGCGAAGGCU
rnacentral:tRNA from 1 species